rnacentral:lncRNA from 1 species
CAGCCACGGCCGCAGGAAAGCUGGAGCACUUCAGUUAGGAGCCUCCUCGGUGGGCAAGGAAGGUUUUGUGCUUGCCUGAAAAACGGUCCCAGCAAAGCAAGACCCCUCCUCGCGCCUCGCCCGGACGCCCCGAGCUGCACAGCCCGCCCAGCCGGGCGCCCGGUGCCAGGCGGCGGCGGCGUCUCCCAACACCCGGCGGCGGAUCCGGGCCCGCCCGGAAGUGCCCGGGCGCUGGAGGGGGAAGAACCUCGCGAGCCGGCGCCGCCGCCGCCGCCGCCGCCGCGCACGCGCGCUCUCGGGCUAAGGGACCGAGGCUGGAGUCGUAACUCGGAAGCCGGAGCCCGGACGGUCCCGGGGCGGGAGGGGCAGCGCGGGGGCGGGAGCGGCGGAGGCGGCCGCCCCUGGUGGCGGGUUUGUUUAUCCCGGGGAAGAAGUUUAGGAGCGACAGAUAGGGAAACGAAGAAGGGCGGACCGGGGAGGAGGGAUGCGGUUCGGCAGAGGCGGCCGCCACAGCGACUCGCCGCCAUCACCCCUGCCGCUUCAGCCAUCACAGCCUCGGCUCCUGGGGCCGCCGCGGCCGCCGCCUCAGCGGGAGAGGAGCCGUCGCCGGGACUGCCCGCCGCCGCCCCGCACUUCAGGGUAGGUGCCCCUCCCGCGCCGGGGUCCCCGCGCGGCCCCGGGCGCCCGCGCCUCCUCCCCGGCCUCCCCGUGCCUCGCCGGGCCCCGGCGGCCUCCGUCCGCUCCCGGGGCCCUCAAGCCACGGCUCCUGCGGCGCAACCUGGGCCUUUUCGGGGGCUGCCUCCUGCCUCUGCUGCUCGGCCCGGGAUGUUCCCCGGUCUCUGGAUUUCCCGGCCUCCGCCUGCCAGGAGCCCCUUAGUUUCCUGCGCGGCCUCUCUGCCUCUUCUCUGGCUGUAUACGUACCUCCAAGGCUGCCCCUUUGUACAGGUCUUUUCCUGCCCGCCGGGAGUGUUGCCCAUAUGGAAAAUACUCCACCCCCCCCCCCCCCACCCUCCACCAGGGGCCAGGGUCCUUUUUCCCCAUGGCCCACCCCCGGAGGUCUCAGCCUUGGCUGCCCAUUUCCUGGGGGGGGUUCCAGUCUGCAGGCCACCCAGUACCUGCCCCGGGGGGGGGGGGGGCCCCCCCCCCCCUAACACAAAGACCCCCUUGGCUCCCCGCACAAUGCUCGUUCCCAAUUUCCCAAGCUACAAGCGAGCCUAA